GCCUAUUAAAUACUCUAAUGUAUCCAGAUUGCGUCUGAUCUUUGAAGGUAAGCAGGAUCAGUCCUGGGUAAUACUUGGAUGAGAGACCACUAAUGAAUAUCAGGUUCUGUAGGAU
rnacentral:rRNA from 1 species